GUGGGGAAUCUUGCGCAAUGGGCGAAAGCCUGACGCAGCCAUGCCGCGUGAAUGAUGAAGGUCUUAGGAUUGUAAAAUUCUUUCACCGGGGACGAUAAUGACGGUACCCGGAGAAGAAGCUCCGGCUAACUUCGUGCCAGCAGCCGCGGUAAUACGAAGGGGGCUAGCGUUGCUCGGGAUUACUGGGCGUAAAGGGCGCGUAGGCGGACAGCUUAGUCAGAGGUGAAAGCCCAGGGCUCAACCUUGGAAUUGCCUUUGAUACUGGCUGUCUUGAGUUUGGGAGAGGUGAGUGGAACUCCGAGUGUAGAGGUGAAAUUCGUAGAUAUUCGGAAGAACACCAGUGGCGAAGGCGACUCACUGGCCCAAUACUGACGCUGAGGCGCGAAAGCGUGGGGAGCAAACAGGAUUAGAAACCCUGGUAGUCC
rnacentral:rRNA from 1 species